CCUUGCACCUUGCACUGGGACCACUUGCGAUAACGGUGGAAAAUGUAUUUCAGACCUAAAAUCCAUUCCAGUAGAAGCCAACUGCAUCUGUGCACUAGGAUUCACCGGCAGUGAUUGUAAGACAGUUAUUAAGAACAUUACUGAUUUGCAUGGGAUCAAGAAUUUGCAGAAUUUAUCAGGCAUUAACCAACAUUUUGACGGCAACAGUGCGGUACCUACAGAUGUUAAAUGUGACGAAAAAAACCCUUGUUGUGUAGUUGUUCCUUACCAUGGCGAUAUCAAUAAACCGCCCAUCUUUGGGUUUAAAGACACAGAUCUUAUAAGUACGUUGAACGCAACAGUGGCAGCGGAUAAGUCGCAGCAAAAUUUGCAAUAUUUCCAAACUUGCGUUAUAGGUGUUCCGGGAAAGACACAUAGAAUGUGUAUACAAACAACAGCGAAUGGUACAACAUAAGGAAUCAAUAUUGAUGAGAUUUGUUUUGAAGUGGAAUUUAAAAGUGGAGGUCAGGACCAUUCUUCGACUGAACCGAAGUUUACUGGUAGUCUAUCAAAUGGAUCAAGCGUUGUAUGUCAGCCAAAGUCGAUCUGUCAUAUUCUAGUUAUAACAGACAAGAAAUCUGGAUCUUG